GAGAGUUAAACAGUACGUGAAAUUGUUGAAAGGGAAACGAUUGAAGCCAGUCGUACCUUCGGGUAAUCAGCCUUUUGGGUGUGAUUUUGUGGAGCGUGAAGAGUUAAACGCCUUCAUGCUUGCAUAUUCGUGCACUUUGGGUGUACUUGCCCGUAUGGUUGGUUAACAUCAAUUUUGGUGGUCAUAAAAUGACUGGAGGAAUGUAGCUUCGAUCUCGUAUUGAAGUAUUAUAGCCUUCGGUAGAUGUGAUGAUCGAGAUUGAGGAUUGCAACGGAUACCCUUCGGGGCUACCUGUCUGAUCUCUGAUCGUUGCUCUGGUACCGAAAGCUUGCUUACGGUUAUCAAAGUCGAUGGUCAAUAGGUUAGAACGGGUUAAAUUCGUUAAGGAUGUUGACGUAAUGGCUUUAAACGA
rnacentral:rRNA from 1 species